ACGAACGCUGGCGGCGUGCUUAACACAUGCAAGUCGAACGGAAAGGCCCUGCUUUUGUGGGGUGCUCGAGUGGCGAACGGGUGAGUAACACGUGAGUAACCUGCCCUUGACUUUGGGACAACUUCAGGAAACUGGGGCUAAUACCGGAUAGGAGCUCCUGCUGCAUGGUGGGGGUUGGAAAGUUUCGGCGGUUGGGGAUGGACUCGCGGCUUAUCAGCUUGUUGGUGGGGUAGUGGCUUACCAAGGCUUUGACGGGUAGCCGGCCUGAGAGGGUGACCGGCCACAUUGGGACUGAGAUACGGCCCAGACUCCUACGGGAGGCAGCAGUGGGGAAUAUUGCACAAUGGGCGGAAGCCUGAUGCAGCAACGCCGCGUGCGGGAUGACGGCCUUCGGGUUGUAAACCGCUUUCGCCUGUGACGAAGCGUGAGUGACGGUAAUGGGUAAAGAAGCACCGGCUAACUACGUG
rnacentral:rRNA from 1 species